CAUAUUAAUACGACUGCAAUAGGUGCGUGUUCGAUGACUUCAGCUGCUGAAGGUGGCACCAUUUUCGUAUUGUAUCCCACUGCUGCUGCCAUCAGCAGCAAUAAUGUCCGUCGAAUGUCAAAUUUAUUCAAAAAGAAGAAGAAGAAAAAUCCGCCAAACAAUAAGAGGUUAUUUGCAGGCUUUGCUUCUAUAGGAAUAAUGGCCUCUGAUCUAAAUACAAAAGUGAGUGUGACCUGUCCUCAUAUUUCUGCUGGCACCACAGUCACAACGCAGAAUGGGCCAGUAUUACCGAACGAGAUGAGAGAGGAGACAGGAUUCGUGCAACUUAUCAUUUUAGGUGCUGAAUCUCGGGAAAGAGUUGCAGCCGCCUGUGAGUGGAAGUCUAGCAUUUAGGCAAUCCUUAAAAUUAUUAUUUUUUUUUUAGUAUAAGAUAACAAUUAAGAGUUUUAUACAAUAAUACAACUAAAUGUGAAAG